rnacentral:rRNA from 1 species
GACGAACGCUGGCGGCGUGCUUAACACAUGCCAGUCGAACGGUAAGGCCCUUCGGGGUCCCCGAGUGGCGAACGGGUGAGUAACACGUGGGUAAUCUGCCCUGCACAUCGGGAUAAGCCUGGGAAACUGGGUCUAAUACCGAAUAGGACCACAGGACACAUGUCCUGUGGUGGAAAGCUUUUGCGGUGUGGGAUGGGCCCGCGGCCUAUCAGCUUGUUGGUGGGGUGAUGGCCUACCAAGGCGACGACGGGUAGCCGGCCUGAGAGGGUGUCCGGCCACACUGGGACUGAGAUACGGCCCAGACUCCUACGGGAGGCAGCAGUGGGGAAUAUUGCACAAUGGGCGAAAGCCUGAUGCAGCGACGCCGCGUGGGGGAUGACGGCCUUCGGGUUGUAAACCUCUUUCACCAUCGACGAAGGUCCGGGUUUUCUCGGGCUGACGGUAGGUGGAGAAGAAGCACCGGCCAACUACGUG